rnacentral:tRNA from 1 species
GCCGGUGUAGCUCAGUUGGUAGAGCGCCAUACUUGUAAUAUGGAUGUCGCGGGUUCGAUUCCUGUCACCGGCUCCC